CCGGGCUCCUGACCGGCAGGGGGCACAUUUCCUCCACUGUCUCCCGCUGCCUGAUCGCCGCUGCUCAGCGGCGGAACUUGCGGGGCCCACAGCCGGCAGCAGUGUAAUGAGUCACACUGACUCAUUACACGCUGCGCUGCAGGCCUUAACACAGGAGGAAGCCGCCGGACGUGAGCGCACAGCGCCAUCAAGUGAGAAGGGUGAGCUCAUCACCCUUCAUCUCGGCACCGCGCUGCUGCAGCUUCCUCCAGACUCCUGGUCUCUGCCACCGCUGCAUGCUGGGAGAAGGGGGAGGAAGGAGAGACAGUCACGGCAGCAGUGUGUGUGGAGAGUGAGGACUGGGAGACAUCAGCUCAGCCGCAGUGAGGAGCCUUACAGGAGCCAGGAGGUGAAAAACGGAGGAGCUGUGUCAGUGGGAAGCUGCCUCCUGUAUAUACAGAGAGCUGGCUGCAGCUAGGGGAGCUCCAGAGCGCGGCUCCUCCCGGGCCCUUCCAGUUAAGCAAGCCAGCCGAGGGAAGUUCUCUGCUCCUCCGUCAGGCUGAUGAUAGCCAAAGGGUGGGGCCCUUGCUGGACACUACUACGCAACAAAGGACCCAACAGAGAGCAGAGUCUGGCAGUUUGGAAGCUGCUGUGAGUAUUUUGACAGCCGGCAUCCCAACUGUCGGGAUCCCGAUACCAACCCGUGUACACAGCUACAAAAGAACAAACCAGAAAUAAACAGACGAGUUGCCAAAGAUUAAAGACUAUACCAGUACAGAGAGAAUUAAAUAUUCUGAGCUAUGUUUCCUGUUUCUGAUCCUUGAGGCCGCUAUAAAUUAAUGGCAUAAAUUAGUAACUGUGUAUCCCUUUUACUUGUAACAAACUGCUUACUGUCUUACAUGGUUUUAAUUAAAGAAUAAAAUAAAAUGAAAAACAA